UAACUGAAGAGUUUGAUCAUGGCUCAGAUUGAACGCUGGCGGCAGGCUUAACACAUGCAAGUCGAGCGGGGGAAGGUAGCUUGCUACCGGACCUAGCGGCGGACGGG
rnacentral:rRNA from 1 species